AGAUUGAACGCUAGCGGGAUGCUUUACACAUGCAAGUCGAACGGCAGCGCGGACUUCGGUCUGGCGGCGAGUGGCGAACGGGUGAGUAAUAUAUCGGAACGUGCCCAGUAGCGGGGGAUAACUACGCGAAAGCGUGGCUAAUACCGCAUACGCCCUACGGGGGAAAGGGGGGAUUCUUCGGAACCUCUCACUAUUGGAGCGGCCGAUAUCAGAUUAGCUAGUUGGUGAGGUAAAGGCUCACCAAGGCGACGAUCUGUAGCUGGUUUGAGAGGACGACCAGCCACACGUGGACUGAGACACGGCCCAGACCUCCGUACGGGAGGCAGCAGGUGGGUAAUUUGGACAAGUGGGGGAAACCUGAUCCAGCCAGUCCCGCGUGUGCGAUGAAGGCCGUUCGGGUUAGUAAGCUACGUUUGG
rnacentral:rRNA from 1 species